rnacentral:rRNA from 1 species
UUGGAGGGCAAGUCUGGUGCCAGCAGCCGCGGUAAUUCCAGCUCCAAUAGCGUAUAUUAAAGUUGUUGCAGUUAAAAAGCUCGUAGUUGAAUUUCGGGGUCAGUAGGUUGGUCAUGCCUCAGGAAUGUACUGAUCUUACUGAUUCCUCCUUCCUGAUGAACCGUAAUGCCAUUAAUUUGGUGUUGCGGGGAAACUGGACUGUUACUUUGAAAAAAUUAGAGUGUUUAAAGCAGGCUAACGCUUGAAUACUUUAGCAUGGAAUAAUGAAAUAGGACGUUCGAUCCUAUUUUGUUGGUUUCUAGGAUUGACGUAAUGAUUAAUAUGGAUAGUUGGGGGCAUUAGUAUUCAAUUGUCAGAGGUGAAAUUCUCGGAUUUAUUGAAGACUAACUACUGCGAAAGCAUUUGCCAAGGAUGUUUUCAUUAAUCAAGAACGAAAGUUAGGGGAUCGAAGACGAUCAGAUACCGUCGUAGUCUUAACCAUAAACUAUGCCGACUAGGGAUCGGAUGAUGUUAAUUUUUUAAUGACUCAUUCGGCGCCUUACGGGAAAC